AGUGAACGCUGGCGGUAGGCCUAACACAUGCAAGUCGAACGGCAGCACAGUAAGAGCUUGCUCUUACGGGUGGCGAGUGGCGGACGGGUGAGGAAUACAUCGGAAUCUACUUUUUCGUGGGGGAUAACGUAGGGAAACUUACGCUAAUACCGCAUACGACGUACGGGUGAAAGCAGGGGAUCUUCGGACCUUGCGCGAGUGAAUGAGCCGAUGUCGGAUUAGCUAGUUGGCGGGGUAAAGGCCCACCAAGGCGACGAUCCGUAGCUGGUCUGAGAGGAUGAUCAGCCACACUGGAACUGAGACACGGUCCAGACUCCUACGGGAGGCAGCAGUGGGGAAUAUUGGACAAUGGGCGCAAGCCUGAUCCAGCCAUACCGCGUGGGUGAAGAAGGCCUUCGGGUUGUAAAGCCCUUUUGUUGGGAAAGAAAAGCAGCAGGUUAAUACCCCGCUGUUCUGACGGUACCCAAAGAAUAAGCACCGGCUAACUUCGUG
rnacentral:rRNA from 1 species